AAUGAACGCUGGCGGCGUGCUUUACACAUGCAAGUCGAGCGAGGCGGCCCGCAAGGGCCAGUCGAGCGGCGAACGGGUGAGUAACACGUGGAUUAUCUACCCUAAGGUGGGGAACAACCCGGGGAAACUCGGGCUGAUACCGCAUGAUACCGAAAGGUCAAAGGGGGCUCGCAAGGGCGUUCCGCCAUAGGAGGAGUCUGCGUCCGAUUAGCUAGUUGGUAGGGUAAUGGCCUACCAAGGCGACGAUCGGUAGCCGGCCUGAGAGGGUGAUCGGCCACACUGGAACUGAGACACGGUCCAGACUCCUACGGGAGGCAGCAGUGGGGAAUUUUGCGCAAUGGGCUAACGCCUGACGCA
rnacentral:rRNA from 1 species